rnacentral:rRNA from 1 species
GCCAGCAGCCAUAUCACCCUGCAACUCACAACUGGCAGCCCACUGAAGGCAAGUGUGAGCCUGGUCAGUACCUGGAUGAGAAACCUUCUGGGAAAAACUAAGGUUGCUGCUGGAA